UCAAGCCUCUCCACAAGGAGGCCUCACUGCAGAGAAAACUUCUUGGGCCCUCCUGGCACUUGGUGACAGAAACAGAAACCCACUCUAGAAAGGCUUCCUGGCCCUGAUUUCUGGGCAGGGCUGAAAAAAAGUGAGUGGGGGUUUUUAGAAGGAAAAAAAGAAGCCAAAUGGGGACAACAAAACCUGCCUGCCCUUGGAGUCUACCACUGCUGGAGAAGCCCUACCAGGGGCUCCUUGACUGUACAAGCCACUCUUAAAGGGGCCAUCAGCUUUCUGGCUUCUCUGGUAAGAAAGCUGAUGGCUAUGAGAAUUGAAUCUGGCAGGUGACAACAUGCUCCUCCCUUGAAAUUACAGCGUAAAAAAAUUGCUCCUGGAAAAACUACAGAGAGAAGAUUCUAUUAACUAUUAACUAUUUGGGACAACACCCAGAGGAAGCUCCAUUCCCAGGCACUCUGACA